GAUGAACGCUGGCGGCGUGCCUAAUACAUGCGAGUCGAGCGAACGGACGAGAAGCUUGCUUCUCUGAUGUUAGCGGCGGACGGGUGAGUAACACGUGGAUAACCUACCUAUAAGACUGGGAUAACUUCGGGAAACCGGAGCUAAUACCGGAUAAUAUUUUGAACCGCAUGGUUCAAAAGUGAAAGACGGUCUUGCUGUCACUUAUAGAUGGAUCCGCGCUGCAUUAGCUAGUUGGUAAGGUAACGGCUUACCAAGGCAACGAUGCAUAGCCGACCUGAGGGGGUGAUCGGCCACACUGGAACUGAGACACGGUCCAGACUCCUACGGGAGGCAGCAGUAGGGAAUCUUCCGCAAUGGGCGAAAGCCUGACGGAGCAACGCCGCGUGAGUGAUGAAGGUCUUCGGAUCGUAAAACUCUGUUAUUAGGGAAGAACAUAUGUGUAAGUAACUGUGCACAUCUUGACGGUACCUAAUCAGAAAGCCACGGCUAACUACGUG
rnacentral:rRNA from 1 species